GAUGAAGAACGUAGCGAAAUGCGAUACGUAAUGUGAAUUGCAGAAUUCAGUGAAUCAUCGAGUCUUUGAACGCACAUUGCGCCCCCUGGUAUUCCGGGGGGCAUGCCUGUCCGAGCGUCAUUGCUGCCCUCAAGCACGGCUUGUGUGUUGGGCCUCCGUCCUCCUCCCGGGGGACGGGCCCGAAAGGCAGCGGCGGCACCGCGUCCGGUCCUCGAGCGUAUGGGGCUUCGUCACCCGCUCUUGUAGGCCCGGCCGGCGCUUGCCGACACAUCAAUCUUUUUUCCAGGUUGACCUCGGAUCAGGUAGGGAUACCCGCUGAGUUUAAGCAUAUCAAUAAGCGGAGGA
rnacentral:misc_RNA from 1 species